UCACUUAUUUUAUUAUUAUUAUUAUUAUUAUUAUUAUUAUUAUUAUUAUUAUUAUUAUUUUUUUUUUUUUUUUUUUUUACUAUUAUGACAUAUUUUUAAUAAAAAAAAAAAUAUAUAUUCGUAAUGCGAAAUUACAAUAUGCUUUAAUCACAAUUUUAUUUAUCAAUUAUAAUUCAAUAUCAUUUAUCAAUUAUAAUUUGUUUAGUAUAUUAACUUUUUUCAACUUUUGCAUUUUUAUUUUUUAUUUUUUUUCUUUAAGUUAUUAAUUUUUGUAUUAAUUCUUGCAUUAAUUUUUGCAUUGAUUUUAAUUUGUUUCGUUUUUUCACCCUUUCUUAUUUGUUUUUGUUUUAACAUUUUACUUACGCUUUUUACUUUUUUACUUUUCAAUUUAGUUCGCUUCAAUUUUCUAUAUUUUUUAUUUCUUUCAUUUACCAUUUCAUGGCAAAUAACUUAAAUGGGGAUAUUAAAAAUUUAGAUUUUGGAGCAGAAUUCAAAAACUGCAAAUGUUUAAACUUAUGCGAGCUUCAACUCAUUUUGAGCGAUCAGCUUAGAUUAACAUCAAAAAGGAAUGAAGAAGCACAAGCAUUAAUAAAAUCUUCUUUUGAGUAUGCCGACCGAUUUGCAACAAUAAAAAACAGAAGCUCCAUUGUGGAUGUCAGAACAAAUUUAGAACGUUUAGGUGAAUUACAUGAAUAUGAAAUAGCUAUGUUAGUUAACUUAUUACCGAAGACUGUUAUAGAAGCAAGAUAUUUUAUACCUUCUUUAAUUAGGGUUAAUGAUGAUACACUCAGUUCAAUAUUAGAACAUCUUAUAAGUUAUAAAAUGUAUGUUUCUUGAAUCAGUGUAUUUAUGCAGCAAAAAAAAAAAAAAAAAAAUAUGUGUACGCACAUUUUUAUACAUGUUCAAGAGGGUAAAAAAAAAAAAAAAAAAAAAAAAAAAAAAAGUGUGCUAGGUGUGCUGUAAGUUUAGGUCUACUAACACAAGAUAGUUGUGAUUUUUUUUUGACAAAACAUUAUAAAAAAAAAAAAAAAUGUAUUUUUUUUGUUAAUUAUUUUUUUUUUUUAAAGCUGAUUAUAAAUGGUCAUAUGUAGUCAUAAUUUACCUGACAUGUUCAUAUUUUGUCAUGAUUUUCCAUAUUUUACUGACACUAUUAGAGCUAGCGAAAUAAUCCUGUUACUUAGAUAGCUAGCCAGCUAGCGUUUGGAACCACACACGUCUUAGCAAAAAUAAGAAUGUGUGUUAAGUCUUAAAAUGGUAUUAAUAAAUGUGUUAAGGAUAUGAGAUAUUUAUAAAAG
rnacentral:lncRNA from 1 species